rnacentral:rRNA from 1 species
AUGUGGUUUAAUUCGAUGAUACGCGAGGAACCUUACCUGGGCUCGAACGUAAGAUGACUGUAGGUGAAAGCUUACAUCUCUUCGGAGCAUUUUACGAGGUGCUGCAUGGUUGUCGUCAGCUCGUGCCGUGAGGUGUCGGGUUAAGUCCCAUAACGAGCGCAACCCCUACCUUUAGUUGCCAUCAGGUUAAGCUGGGGACUCUAAAGGAACUGCCUACGCAAGUAGUGGGGAAGGCGGGGAUGACGUCAAAUCAGCACGGCCCUUACGUCCAGGGCUACACACGUGCUACAAUGGCCGAUACAGAGGGCAGCUACCUGGUGACAGGAUGCAAAUCUCCAAAGUCGGUCUCAGUUCGGAUCGGAGUCUGCAACCCGACUCCGUGAAGUUGGAUUCGCUAGUAAUCGCGCAUCAGCCAUGGCGCGGUGAAUACGUUCCCGGGCCUC